GUGCCAGCAGCCGCGGUAAUACGUAGGGCGCAAGCGUUGUCCGGAAUUAUUGGGCGUAAAGAGCUCGUAGGCGGUUUGUCGCGUCUGGUGUGAAAACUCAAGGCUCAACCUUGAGCUUGCAUCGGGUACGGGCAGACUAGAGUGUGGUAGGGGUGACUGGAAUUCCUGGUGUAGCGGUGGAAUGCGCAGAUAUCAGGAGGAACACCGAUGGCGAAGGCAGGUCACUGGGCCACUACUGACGCUGAGGAGCGAAAGCAUGGGGAGCGAACAGGAUUAGAUACCCUCGUAGUCC
rnacentral:rRNA from 1 species